rnacentral:rRNA from 1 species
CGUGCCAGCAGCCGCGGUAAUACGAAGGGGGCUAGCGUUACUCGGAAUUAUUGGGCGUAAAGCGUGCGUAGGCUGCUUAGUAAGUCAAAAGUGAAAUCCUUGGGCUUAACCUAAGAAUUGCUUUUGAAACUGCUAAGCUUGAGUACUGUAGGGGAUAGCGGAAUUCCUAGUGUAGGGGUGAAAUUCGUAGAUAUUAGGAGGAACACCAGAGGCGAAAGCGGUUAUCUGGGCAGUAACUGACGCUGUUGCACGAAAGCGUGGGGAGCAAACAGGAUUAGAUACCCUGGUAGUCCACGCUGUAAACGAUGAGUGCUA